AUUUCACAUGAUGAUGGUCUAUUAGUAGGAGGCAUCGGGGCUGGGACCAAGAUCAAGGAGGUGGACUAAGGUCUUUUGAAGCUUCAGAAGUAGAACAGAGCAUGCUUGAUCGAUGGGACUAUUUUAUGUAGCAUUUUGAACCAGCUCAGCCCUGGCUCUGUACCCGAGUCGAGGUGGUUCAUUUGUUUCUUCUGGGCAGCGCUAGAGAAUGUCUAAAAGUUUCUUUCAACUAUCGAUGAAAUGGGGUUACUGAGAUUUGAAGCAUCAGACCUAGAGCAGAUAUCCAUACUUUUUCCCUAACAUUUUUCUUCCAUUAAAGGCAUCUUUGGUGAAAUGGGGUUAAACCUCCUAUGUGACAUCUAAAAAGUUUACAAGUUUCAAACAACGGCAUUGAAGUAGAUGUGCUCAUCUAUGAUUGGAACUAUUGUGAAUCCUGAAUUUUCUUUUUUCUUAUUUUCUAAAUGCAAGUAAUGUGGACUCUGGGGCCGGUUGUCUUCAUUUUAUGGACUAGAAAGGGGCUCAUGGAGCUAUGAGAAGGAUCCAACUCAAGUGACAAGGGUCGUGUGGUGGAGGUUUAAGCGGCUACAUAUGUGAUAGGCUACACCCCUUGGAUGUAUGUUCCACCAACCCAAAGUCAUCCUGUAAAUCCUUAUUGAAAAACGCAGGCUAAUUAAUAACAUAUAAUAUCUAAAGAAGUUUUAAAUUUUGGUGCUGGACCAUUAUCUUUUGUACUUUUCUUUUGUGCUCACUUUGAUACUAGUUACUGAAAUUGCCUGAACAAAAAAAAAAAAAAAAAAAAAAAAAACAAUUCCACAGAUUAAAUUCAUAGCAUUGAUCUAUAUAUUUCAAUUGAAAGCUGAGCUUUGUUUCUUCCCUAUAUGCUGAAAUUUAACUUAAUAGUUAUCUGCAAUUAUGUUUUUUCUGUGGGAGAAUGAGUAGGGAUGUGUUGCCUAUAGCUUUUCGUGAGUGCAGACACCCUAAUAUUAUGAUUUUUUGAAUCAUUUUAUCCCAAAUGGAUGGAAUUAAUUUUUUUGUUGUUAGGAUGGGUGCUUUUUCCGCGUUGUCCUUUUUUUUCCCCAUUGUGGUAUUCGUAUGAUUUUCAAGUGAUAAAAACUAAAACCGAACUUAAAAACUAAAGUCAUGACAAGGGUGUACUUAUUAUUGUAUCACUACACCAACUCGGCCUGGUUUGCCUUUUCUCUCAUUCGUGUAUUAGUUGCAUCUUUGUAGUUAAACUAUGAAGUCUUCCACAUG